UUAAGUUCAGCGGGUAUUCCUACCCGAUCCGAGGUCAACUUGAUUAGAAGUGUUUAACGGCCCGACGCCCGUCUAACAACCGAGAUUUUACACAAACGCUUGAGAGACCGCAGUCGUCUAGCCGACGAAAUCGGGGCGCGGGGAGGUCCCGUCGCCCAAUACCAAGCCAGGCUUGAUGGGUUUUAAUGACGCUCGAACGG
rnacentral:misc_RNA from 1 species